CACGUAGGGCGCAAGCGUUGUCCGGAAUUAUUGGGCGUAAAGAGCUCGUAGGCGGUCUGUUGCGUCUGCUGUGAAAACCCGGGGCUUAACCCCUGGCUUGCAGUGGAUACGGACAGACUAGAGGUAGGUAGGGGAGAAUGGAAUUCCCGGUGUAGCGGUGAAAUGCGCAGAUAUCGGGAGGAACACCGAUGGCGAAGGCAGCUCGCUGGGACGGUACUGACGCUGAGGCGCGAAAGCGUGGGGAGCAAACAGG
rnacentral:rRNA from 1 species